GCUUUCCCUGUCCUCAUCUGUCUAAACUACUUUGGAAAGCCUUCUCCAAACCUUGAGUAUUCCUCUAGAUCCUAAGACACCAAACUAGCAACCCGAAUCUGACUCUGGAUGUUGACCUCUUGUCUAACCACUUGAUUUUCAGUGCUUGACGUUGAACUAUACCCCUACUGGGAUGAACCCACUCUAGCAGCUCAAGGACCCCUUCCUUUACACGCUCCCUGGUGAUCUGGUUUGAAAGAAACGGCCAGCCUUGGCUGAGACGUUGGGCAACAUUACAAGGCACACGAGGCAGGAAGAAGCACAGCCAAGAUUUCAUUCUGUUUUUGCUGAUCUCUACUGUGGUUUCCAAUGAAGAGAACACCUUUAAGAAGAACAAAUUCAUCAAACCCUGAAGCCCUGAAGCAAUGGUGUUCCUGAUCUUGCCAGAAGCUAGCCCUUAUCCAUAAAAGAUGGAAGGAUCCCCAAACUCUUGAUACUCAAGAAAAACAACCCUAACACAUAUUGUCUACACAAAGGGAUCUUGUCUCUCUUUAUUCAUUGCAGACCCAAACCUUACCCACUUUUCAAGGCUCAGCUAAAUCCUAGUAACCCACAUGAAUUCCUCCUUAGUUAAGAUUCUUAUUGCCAGUAUCACAAUCUGUGUCAUUCAACUUUACUAUUUUGUUCCAUUCUUUGUGGUCUUGUAUAUGAAUAUUAAUUCAAUUGAGUCAUGAAUUUCCUUAGGACAGGCUUCAUGUUUAAUACUCUUUAAUGAU
ensembl:lncRNA